rnacentral:lncRNA from 1 species
CCCCCAAAAUCCCCCAAAAUCCUCGCAGGGGGACUGAUCGGUGGCUGAAAGCCCCUUACCCAGCAUCUGGCACAGCUCGGAGCACCAGUGGGCAAGACCCGAGGGGCUCUCUGCACCCAAGGAUGCUCACAGCAGCCUCGUCCCAUCCCGUCCUGCUGCAGGGGGGGUCUGGGGCUGAACACCACCCCCCUUGGGGACACCCAAAACCUCCUCGCCCUCGCCGGCAGCCGCUGGUCUCCACCCGCCAGCCCCGGCGCCAGGGCUUUCCAGCGGUUCCCAGCGCUUUCCAGCGGUGGUUUUGAAAGAGCCGCAUUGUCUGCCUCCCCCCCCCCCGCCGUGGCCCCCUGCUUCUCCGUGUGUUGGGGGGGGUCUGGGCAGCGAGCUCUCCCCCAGCAGGAUCAGCCUCACCCCCUCCGUGCCUCAGUUUCCCCCCUGGCACCUUUUGGGGCGCAGGGGGAGUGGGGCUCAGCCCCCCGAACCCCCAGAUCCCUGGAAACGGUAGGCAGGGAAAAAACAAGGGGGGGCCUGGGGAAUCCGAGGGUCCCCAGUGGGUGCCAAAAGGGUCCCCGAGGGGCGCGGGGGGGGCUGAGUCGCAGCCCCCUUUGUGAGAGCCCCCCCUCCCCUCUCCCUGCAGGACACCAUGGUCCCGUGGGACCCCACGUGGUGCCUGCUGCUGGGGCUCUGCGCCCUGCUCCCCGUCGCCGGCACCCAGGGGACCCCAACCGAGGAUGCGGCGCCGGGGGUCCCCGAGCGCUGCGGCGUCACCUUCCACACCCCCAACCCCUGCGGGGCCCCCCAGGCUCCCCCCUCGGCCUCUCGCCAAGAGCUGGAGCAUCUCCAGAGCCUCCUGCAGCAAACCAGGGCCAGCCUACAGGACGUGGAAGCGGCGGCGGCGCUGGAGGAGCACCGGCCCCGCUACCAGGACGUGAUCGCCGAGGCGCUGCCCGCCAUCCGCGGGGCCAACCGGGAGUUCCAGGAGAGCCUGGACAACGUCCGCAGGGAGCUGGAGGCGCACGUGGCCGAGAGCGAGCACCCGCAGGAGGUGGAGAAGAGGGAGAAGCUGCGGAAGGACGUCCGAGUGGUGGCCCACGUCCUGCGGCUCACCGCCCGCCUGGCCCGCGCCCUCGACGCCUCCUCGCAACGCCUCCAGGACGAGCUCCACCAGCGCCUGCAGCGCUCGGCCGCCCGCGCUGCUGCCACCCCCCAGCCCUAAGGCUCUGCCCCCCACUUUCUAUAUGGCCUUGCUUGCUGGUAGGACCCUAUUUUGCCCCCCAGCCGGCUCGCCCCCACCGCUUUCGGGGUGCCUGGCUCCUCCGCGCGGUCCCUGGGGUUUGGGGGAGCGAGCUGGGUGCCGGGCUGGCACCGGCGCACUGCCCGUAGCCCCAGCCCCAAGUUUUUAACGCAUUUAUCCCGCAGGAGCUGCGCCCUGCUGGGGCACAACCCCGUGCACCCUACGCACGGGGAGAUCCCCCCCCCCCCGCUGCAGGCUCCUUCCCACCAGAGCUCUGCGCCCUCGGGCCCUCCCCGAGGUUGCUUUGUGCAUGCAGCUCGCCAGACUCGUGUGCCAGUAUCUGGGGGCUCCCCAGCACCCCCAGAGUGCCUUAAAAACGAACCCCAAAUCCUUCGGGGCUCGGCUGGUGACCUCCCCGCAUCGCAGCCCUCCUGGAUGCGUCCCCGCGUGGGCAGAGCCACCGCCAGCCCCCGUUAAUCCGUCACCCGGCCUGAAACACCCCCAGCACCCCCCGGCUGCUGGGAGCAGGAGGCUGGGGGGCUGCCAGAAUGGGGACAGGGAUGGGGACAGGGAUGGGGACAAGGUGGCUGCGCAUGUGCACGAACCACCCAGCAGUAAAAUCGAAGCUGGCAACCGGAGUGCACCGAGCCCAGGGGGGGUUUGGGCACCAGGAAAAGAGCUGGAGGCAGAACACCCCGCUGUUUUCGGGAGCCAGGGGGGGGUCUGCGGGCAUGGCACAUCCUGGGCACCCCAAUGUGCUGGGUGUGGGGUCCCCGCUGUCCCCAUGGGGUCCCAGGGAUGGGCACGAGGUCAGGGAUGCCCGGGGCAGCGGCACGGCACGAUUUGAGGCGCUGCAGGCGGGGGAAUAAAGAGGCACCGCGCUCUGUGUGAUCUCCGUGU